AUGCAGGUGGCUAAACUGCAGGGGAAGGACUGGAAUCAGGUGGCUAAGCGGCAGGGGAAGAGGAGUGGAAGCAGGUGGCUAAGCUGCAGGGGAAGGAGUGGAAGCAGGUGGCUAAGCGGCAGGGGAAGGAGUGGAAGCAGGGUGGCUAAGCGGCAGGGGAAGGAGUGGAAGCAGGUGGCUAAGCGGCAGGGGAAGGAGUGGAAGCAGGUGGCUAAGCGGCAGGGGAAGGAGUGGAAGCAGGUGGCUAAGCUGCAGGGGAAGGAGUGGAAGCAGGUGGCUAAGCUGCAGGGGAAGGAGUGGAAGCAGGUGGCUAUCGGUUGCCUGGACCUGUUAUAAAUAGCUAACCAAUAGCUAUUGGUAGCUAUACAGCUAUACAAGACAUUCCCAGGUCCCGGCAGACUGGACCUGCGAGACCUCGAGACGUGUGGGAGGACGAGGAUGGGCAGUCAUUACUAUACCUGUCCGUUGCUCACGACCUCCCGGCAGAUGACUGAAAUCAAAGGCCGGCUGGGAGGAUGACUCCAAGCACGCGGUGUCGCAUUUGACUAAUGCAGGCACGGUGAUAAUAAAGACUUGCCACCCACAGGGAGACACUGUAGAUGGGGCAGAAAUGUUCUCAUCACCUGAGCCGGAUGUGGACGACAAGAGCGACCUGAUAGCCAAAUUCGCAUACACUAAGAAAUGUACCUUACGGAAGCCGCUGAGGUUGCCCAAGAGAUAGCCGAAGGAGAGGAAAGAAGCUCUGCGUAAAGAAAACAUUGGGCCGAAGAACCUGAUGAGAAGCCUGAGGAUCUCCGUGGAAGACAUGGACACCCUGAAGGACAUGGUCCUGGAGACGCGUAAAUACCUGGAGGACAUGGUCCUGGAGACGCGUAAAUACCUGGAGGACAUGGUCCUGGAGACGCGUAAAUACCUGGAGGACAUGGUCCUGGAGACGCGUAAAUACCUGGAGGACAUGGUCCUGGAGACGCGUAAAUACCUGGAGGACAUGGUCCUGGAGACGCGUAAAUACCUGGAGGACAUGGUCCUGGAGACGCGUAAAUACCUGGAGGACAUGGUCCUGGAGACGCGUAAAUACCUGYAGGACAUGGUCCUGGAGACGCGUAAAUACCUGAAGGACAUGGUCCUGGAGAUGCGUAAAUACCUGGAGGAGAGCAACAGCACCCCUGCACGGCUGGAGACUCAACGUCUGCAGCUCCAACAGCAGAAUGAUGCCUUCAUGGAUACGAUUGAAAGUCUGAACAAGAGCUGUCCACUCUUAAGCACGAGAGAGCUGAGGAUAGGGUGAAGUUAUGGGAUCAGAAUGGCUGGCUGUAUUGGCCUAUUGCAGUCCCAAGUCGAUGAGUUCCCUCAUUGAGGAGAUGCAGGUAGCUUAGUGGUUAGAGCGUUGGGUCUGUAACUGAAAGGUUGCUGGCAAGCUGACACGGUAAAGAUCUAUCGUUCUGCCCCUGAACAAGGCAGUUAACCCACUGUUCCUGUCAUUGUAAAUAAGAAUUUGUUCUUAACUGACUUGCCUAGUUAAAUAAAGGUUCAAAUAAAAAAAUGCAAAGCGCUGUGGCUGAAAGCACAUGUCACAACCUGGAGUUUCAGGCGAGGGUGCAGGACUUGGAGGUGAAAAUUGCAGAAGCCAGGAACGCUGGUAAAGAACAUGAGAUGACAGCUCCAUUGUGCGCAGGAAAAGGGCCCAUUCCUUCACCGAGGAACUUGUGCAAUGUGACAUGAACUCUGUUGAUGAAGAGAUAAGUGGAGGUUUCAACCACUGCGACCCAGAGCUGCCUGGGGAGAAGUCUGCUCGGCAGGCUCCAGAAGGUGGUCUGCCAGGCAAGGAUGUUCGCCCAGGGUGGCAUGGUUUCCUUGUGCGUAAUGGCUGCAAGUGUGCCCACAUGCCAAAUUGGACAAGGGGUUCAAUGCGGAGACCUGCUUGAAGACGCAGAAAAGGGCUUUUCAUAUCUUAUGUGACUAUUAAACACACUGCCUUCCCUCCCGUCUGAAUGAUAUUAUAUUUCAAGAUGUUCCAUAAAGAUAAGGUAUUUUUUACAACAAACAAAAGCGUAUUUAGCCUAUUCAUGGAUAGAAUGUUUAAGCCCAUGGAGCAACACAG
ensembl:lncRNA